AUUGCUUGUCUCCCCGAAAGAACAAAUGAAUGCAGCUAAAAUUAAAGUGACAAAGUCGCUGUGGGUUGUAAGCUGCUGUGUCGGAAGAAGACGGACUGAACCGGAGAAGUCUUGAAAUCGCCAGCCUGGCUUUCAACCCCACAAACUGGUUAAAAAAGGAAGGAACUGAGGACUCCGCUCUUUGUGCACCUGGAUUUUGGACUUCCUGAGCGAUAGACCCUAGAACGUCAGGAUGGGAGAGCACACCGCCUCCACCCUCAUUCUGAAUGUAGGCGUCACACAGGGGUGUGUCCUCAAUCCCUUUUAAUCACUUUUUACCCAUGACUGUUCUCCAAUUCAUACCAGUAACACCAUUAUAAAAUUUGCUGACAACACCACCAUCAUAGGACUGAUCGAGUACAAAGAUUCAGUCUACAGAGAGCAUCUGAAGUGAUGGUGUGACAACAACAACCUACAUCUGAACACAGCCAAGACCAAGGAGAUAGUAAUCGACUUAAGGAGAACAAGGCGAUCUGAGCUCUCCUCCCUCUACAUUGAUAGGGAGGAGGUAGAAAGGGUAGAAAGCUUUAUGUUCCUCAGUGUCCAUGUCUCAGCCGACCCUAGCUGGUCCAUAAACAUUUCCCACCAGGUAGGAAAAGCACAACAAAGGCUUUACUUUCUCAGGAAGUUGCAUCAGGCCCAAUUACCCCCAAAACUGCUAAUCAACUUCUACAGCUCCACCAUCAAGAGCCUUCUGAUCUACUGCUGUACACCCUGGUUCAACUGCUGUAGUGUGGAGCUCAAGAGAAAACUCCAGUGGGUAGUGAGGGUGGCAGAGUGGGCAACUGGCGCUUAACUCCCCUCAGAGACAUUUAUGCUGGCAGACUUCAGCGGAAUGCCAGUAUCAUCAUCAAGGACUCCUCGCACCCUGGGCACUCACUUUUUACCCCCCUUCCCUCUGGUAAACGCUACUGGUCGAUCAGGUCAAAGGCAGACUCAAUAAAAGUUUCUACCCACAGGCUGUCAAACAUGCCCUACCUCCACCCUGAUUGAAGGUUAACUGUGCUGUUAACAUUUAUGGACAUUUACACUGUAUUUAUAAACUAUAUUUAUUAUAGUGUAAUGCAACCAACAAUUCUACCUCUAAUUAUAUGACUGUAUUUAAUAUAGUAGCAACCAGCAUUCUUACCCAUUACUCAAUACCACCGAUCACAUUGCACCUAACUAUUUGGAUAUGGUUUUGCUCGCCAUGAAGCACCAACAAUGUUUUUUAGAUUUUUAGCUGGAAGGAAUUAAACAAAGCAUAUCUCAUAAACAUGGUAUGUAACCUAUAACAGAUCUUAUUGUAGUUAUACUGGAUAUUAGGUGUUUUGUUUCGGGGUUUUUUUUUUAAAUGAAAAGACCACAUGUUGCAGUACAUGUGAUAGGUCUCCACAUCAACUGAUACCACAGACUGCAGCACUUCAAUGUCUAGACCUCCACCAGGAAUGCACAGGCUUUCACGAGGUGUGAGGUGAGAUUGCAAAGGAGCAAAGUUAGACAGUUAUGAAAAGCUUUAAAAAAAAGAAGCAAACUAAAAUACACAUUGUGUGUGAUGUACAUUCUCUAAAUUCAUUAUUCUGAUUGGCUUCCUCUUCAUCCUCCUCUUUCUUGCUUUCACUCUUUCUUGCUGCUGUAGGUCCUGUUCUAAGAAUAAACAAGAAGCUUCAUCUUGAACUGAGUUCUCAGCAUUGAUUCAGCAGUGGCCUUGUUUUCCUGCUUAAUGGCUUCAAUCUUUGCCUGAUAACAGGUAGCCAGAUGCAUAAAUGUCUAUAUGUAGUAGUUUUUAUAUUUUUGGGCAUACAGAAGACAAAAAUGUAAGAAAGAGAGAACAGGAGAUUAUUUUCAAAUACUAGACUGGAAAUUUAAAGCUUAAAUGUACAAUGCCCCAAUACGUUUUAGAGUUCUUAAAUCAGGUAUUGAUGUGUUGCUGAAUUAUGUUUUUGUGAAAGAUCUUGCAAAGCAAACUGAAGUACACUAAUUUUAUGUCAUUUAGUGAUUCCAUGGAAAUACACAAAAAAGGAGAAAAAAGAUUCUUGGCUCUCAUAAAAACAAACCAAUUAUUUUGAGUCAAAUGCAACUGAAAUAGAUAAAAUCAUAGUUUUAUUUAUUAAACUAAUAACUGAUCUCAUCCUGAAAUAACAUAAAUACAGCAUAAAUUAAAGUUGGGAUCUGAGUUUAUGAUCUGUAAACAUCUACUGAAAUAGACUGUCACCAAACCAGAAAAACCUGCAGGGUUUUGGAAUCACAUGUUUGUUGUGCAGAUAUUGUGUCAGCUCCAGUUAGUCACACAAAUGCACAAAAUCCUGAAACCAUGAACAUAAACAUGCAUUAGGAAAUGUUGGUCUCUUGUUUUAUGUAUGGCAACUGCAUUGAAGCACAAGAUUUAGUUUUCAAGGUAUUGAAAGUAACAAAGACUGCAGACUGAUUACAGCUGUAAACACAAUUUGAGUAGACGUAAAGGAUAAUGUCCGACACAUGCUUGGUUUUCAGUUCACCUUUGCAAAGUAAAGGAUUAAGAGAACUGUAGGCAGUGGAAUAACCACUCUGAGGCAUAUGAGGGUCAGUCCACUUGUCAGGAUCUAAGGUAUUGUUUUCUAUCUAGCUUUCGCUGCAUAUUUUAUUAACUAACAUUAUGUAGUUCAUGGUGAUGUUUUAAUGAGUAGAAAAAUAUUUUUUAAAAAAGGGGGCUCAGAACAACUUUAUCCUCCCCAUUAUUUCUGGCAACAGUUUCAUUCAUAUGACCAAAAAACUUUAUGGCACAAAGGUUAGAAGGUGGAGGGCAAAUAAUACCAAGCCUGUCAUUUGUGAAUUGGUGUCCGUUUCCAUUUUUUGUACAGUGGUAUAACUAAUCUCAUUUAUUUUGGGGCUGUACCAGUUUGAAGAUGAAUCCUUUGUUGAGAAAUGUUCUUUUAAUACAUUCUGAUCAUAUUUCUGCAGAAAAAAAUGUCACUUUCAAAAAAUUCAGCCUUUCAGUAUAUGUCUCACUUUAUUUUAGUUAUUCAUUUCCCCUGUUAAUGUAUACGCAAACUGUAAUACACACAAUACAACAAAAUAACACAUGGAGUGCAUACUAUUAGCAGUGAUUUUUAUUUCUACCACUCAAAACAUUUUUAAUAAACAAAAAAUAUCCUUCUGCAACAGCAACAUACAUGCAUAUGACCCUGUAAGAUGUUAUAUAAUAUAUAUAUAUAUUUAUAUAUAUAUAUAUACACACUAAAACAAUUACAAUCUAUAAUAAAGGCACUCAAAAUGUAUUGCAAAGCGAAUGCUGGGGAAAUAUUUCUAUGAUUCUAUGAAGUGACGUCCAUCAUUUUGUUUGUCAAGUUAGAAAUCUGGUUCGAAGCUUUGCCCUUGUGCUGAGCUGAAGUUGAAUGUGUUCAUACUAAACUCAGUCAACAAAAGGUGGCCGUUUGAGAGGCGUUUAA